CUGACCUGUAAUGUAGAGAAGCCUUUGGCACAACUCCAUACAGUACUCUGUGUGUUCAGGGAUUCAUUCUUUUGGUUGUAUUUUACAGGGAAAAAUCACUCCAAAAGGUAGGAAAAUAAAAUGUGCAUGGGGCCUGUGAGCAGUCGAAGCCAUGUGGAGCCUGGGAAUCCUGGGAUCUACAGUCUGAUCACCGCAGUCCCAUCUGUGGCUGUGCCCUCAGGCUCCUCGGGAGAGAAUGCAAGGACCUCGGACAACGAUGAAUCUGACACGUACCAUGUGUACUGCUCCAUCACUGAGAGAGACGUCACUGAGAGAGCCAUCACAGCUGCCCAGGCUGACACGUUCUACAGUCUUCAGCAGCCACACUGAAACCACAGUUCUGUCAGCACCUUCAUCUGGUUUUCAUGUUUGAGAAUAAUUGAACAAAACAUUUGUAACGAUUGCAGUGCAGACUUUAAAAUGUAGCCUUGCCUUUUCCUCAAACCUUAUAGAUUCUUAUGAACAAGAUACUUAGCUACCGAUAGCCUUUGUUGUAGAUAUUUUUACGUUUGAAGAAUAGAGAUUUGAUUGUGGGUGCCACCGUGGCUCAUGUGAGCUGAGACCUUGAUGCAACGGCCUCGGUUCGAAUCCAGCUCCGGUCAUUUCUGCAUGUUUAUCUCAACUGUCUGUUUAAUAAAGGCCAACAAUAUAUCUUUAACAAUUCUGCAUAUUUUAUUGUACAUGUGGUUUUACAGGCAGGCAUAGAGACUGCCUCUGAAACGACAACUCCUGACCAUUUCAAUGCUAGUGAGGAGACAGCAGAACCUCCUGAGGGUGCAGGUGGGGACCAGAAACCAUCACCCUCCCCUGACUUGGAGCCCCUGGGAGAGGACCAGGUCCAACAUGUCCAGGGUCCCAGCUGUCUCUCAGGAGAAUGACUGUAAACAAAUAAAAUAUAUAAAAAAUAGGAAA